GGCUCAGUAGGUGGUAACAGGGUACCCGUGGGGGUUGCGCUGGGCUGAGUAAUGCCUAGGAAUCUGCCUAGUGGUGGGGGAUAACGUCCGGAAACGGACGCUAAUACCGCAUACGUCCUACGGGAGAAAGCGGGGGAUCUUCGGACCUGGCGCCAUUAGAUGAGCCUAGGUCGGAUUAGCUAGUUGGUGAGGUAAUGGCUCACCAAGGCGACCAUCCGUAACUGGUCUGAGAGGAUGAUCAGUCACACUGGAACUGAGACACGGUCCAGACUCCUACGGGAGGCAGCAGUGGGGAAUAUUGGACAAUGGGCGAAAGCCUGAUCCAGCCAUGCCGCGUGUGUGAAGAAGGUCUUCGGAUUGUAAAGCACUUUAAGUUGGGAGGAAGAGUUGUGGAUUAAUACUCUGCAAUUUUGACGUUACCGACAGAAUAAGCACCGGCUAACUUCGUGCCAACGGCCGCGGUAAUACGAAGGGUGCAAGCGUUAAUCGGAAUUACUGGGCGUAAAGCGCGCGUAGGUGGUUCGUUAAGUUGGAUGUGAAAGCCCCGGGCUCAACCUGGGAACUGCAUCCAAAACUGGCGAGCUAGAGUACGGUAGAGGGUGGCGGAAUUUCCUGUGUGGCGGCGAACUGCGUAGAUAUAGGAAGG
rnacentral:rRNA from 2 species